rnacentral:lncRNA from 1 species
AAGAAAGGAAAACUAAACAUUUACAAGUACUAUGAUUCAUUUUUGAUCAUAUACAUUGCAUUCAUCUUGUACAUUUUCGAAUUCCUUACAUUUCAUUUCAUCAUUUCUUUCUUACAUCACAUUUACUUCAAAAUACACAUUACAUUCUUUUCUUUACAUCAUUUAUCAUCAGGUACAAAAGAUGAUCAUAGGGUACUUUACCACAAAAUAAAACCCAACUUUGGUGGCCUCUGACUAAGGCGCGAUACCUUUACCUCGGUCGCUCGCCGGCUCGCUCGGUCCCGGCUCUGUGGAAAUAGUGGGGUGAGAACUACAACAAAGUUCCCAGUGGGUUCGGUCUCAACAUCACCGACUUU